rnacentral:ncRNA from 1 species
AUGAGUGCCUGUCCACCCCAUUCCUUCCGCGGCUGUGCCGGACUUGACAGUGGUCUUGUCGAAGUCGUGAGGCGCAACGCGAUGACCGUAGGCGAGCCGCUUGCCCCGUACGCCGGGGCGGCGGCUUUUUUA